rnacentral:rRNA from 1 species
GACGAACGCUGGCGGCGUGCUUAACACAUGCAAGUCGAACGGUGAAGCGCCUUCCUUGUUGGUUGGUGUGGAUGAGUAGCGAACGGGUGAGUAACACUUGAGUAACCUGCCCCCUUCUUCUGGAUAACCGCAUGAAAGUGUGGCUAAUACGGGAUAUUCUGGGUCUGUCGCAUGAUGGGUCUGUGUAAGAUAUUGUUUCGGUGGGGGAUGGUCUCGCGGCCUAUAAGCUUGUUGGUGGGGUGAUGGCCUACCAAGGCGGUGACGGGUAGACGGCUUGAGGGGGUGGACGGUCACACGGGGACUGCGACACGGUCGAGACUGCGACGCGAGGCAGACGUGGGGAAUAUUGAACAGUGGGCGAAAGUCUGAUGCGGCGACGAGGCGUGAGGGAUGGAGGCCUUCGGGUUGUGAACCUCUUCCGCCAGUUAAGCAGGCCUGCCUCGUUUGUGGGUGGGUUGACGGUAGCUGGAUAAGAAGCGCCGGCUAACUACGUG